rnacentral:rRNA from 1 species
ACGCAACAAAGACACCAGAGCUUGCUCUACCGUCUUUGUUGAGUAGCGAACGGGUGAGUAACGCGUGGGUAACCUGCCUUAUAGCGGGGGAUAACUAUUGGAAACGAUAGCUAAUACCGCAUAACAAUAGAGAUUGCAUAAUCUUUAUUUGAAAGUGCCAACUGGUACACUAUGAGAUGGACCCGCGUUGUAUUAGCUAGUUGGUAGUGUAAUGGACUACCAAGGCGAUGAUACAUAGCCGACCUGAGAGGGUGAUCGGCCACAUUGGGACUGAGACACGGCCCAAACUCCUACGGGAGGCAGCAGUAGGGAAUCUUCGGCAAUGGACGAAAGUCUGACCGAGCAACGCCGCGUGAGUGAAGAAGGUUUUCGGAUCGUAAAACUCUGUUGUUAGAGAAGAACGUUGAUUAGAGUGGAAAAUUAAUCAAGUGACGGUAUCUAACCAGAAAGGGACGGCUAACUACGUGCCAGCAGCCGCGGUAAUACGUAGGUCCCGAGCGUUGUCCGGAUUUAUUGGGCGUAAAGCGAGCGCAGGUGGUUUAAUAAGUCUGAUGUAAAAGGCAGUGGCUCAACCAUUGUGUGCAUUGGAAACUGUUAGACUUGAGUGCAGUAGAGGAGAGUGGAAUUCCAUGUGUAGCGGUGAAAUGCGUAGUAUUAUUGGAGGAACACCGGUGGCGAAAGCGGCUCUCUGGACUGUAACUGACACUGAGGCUCGAAAGCGUGGGUAGCAAA